UACGAAGGGGGCGAGCGUUGUUCGGAAUUACUGGGCGUAAAGGGCGCGCAGGCGGCUCUGAAAGUCAGAUGUGAAAGCCCCGGGCUUAACCUGGGAACUGCAUUUGAUACUCUGGAGCUUGAGUACGGGAGAGGAUAGUGGAAUUCCCAGUGUAGAGGUGAAAUUCGUAGAUAUCGGGAAGAACACCCGUGGCGAAGGCGGCUCUCUGGGACGGUACUGACGCUGAGACGCGAAAGCGUGGGGAGCGAACAGG
rnacentral:rRNA from 1 species